ensembl:lncRNA LINC00635 long intergenic non-protein coding RNA 635
AUAGCAACAGCAGCGUAGCUGAACAUCUUACGGAUGGCCCAGGGCUCCAAAGGCUCGUUUCCUAAGUGAGAGAGAGCCUGGCUGAAGCUGUAUUACCAUUCAUUCUCCAGCCUCCGAAGUCUCAAAGCAUCACUUCCACCAUACUCUAACUGUCAAGACAAACACAAAGGCCCAGAAACUGCCAGACUGUCUUCUGAAGUGGCUAUAAUAUUUACACUCCCAUCAGCAGUGUAGAAGGGGUCUCACUAUGUUGUCUGGAGUGCUGUGGUGGAGUGGAGUGGCUAUUCACAGCUGAGUUUGCAGAGUAAACCACUACCCUGAAAUCUGGAAAGGCAGGUGCACCCACAGAUCCUCAGCUGAGAUCCAAUUACCUGAAAUAGAAGCUGCCAUUAGGAACACUUAAAAGAGCCUGUUCUGCUGGGACACAGAAUCACUUGCUCCAUCUCAUACAUUGAUGAUGAUUAAUUUGUAUGUGUACCUUCCAAAAAAGAUGGUUGUGUUUGAAUGGAGGCCUUCUGGACAGGAAAAUUGCAAAGUACAAUUAACAUUUGAGUCUGUCUGAGUCAUGAAGAAAUGGAGAUUACUGAAAAUAAUUCAUUUUGGUAUCUUCUUACAUCCUGAGAGACUAAUCUUUCCAAGUUCAUCUGAGGCUCCUCUUCUCCAUGACAACCUCAUCCAGGGAUUUCUUCCUGUCCUGGUGUUUUAUGACAUAAUCACAUCCUUCCUGAGAUAAUGAGCACACAAUUGCCUGGAUACCUGAAGGAAUGGAGACAGCGGCAGAAAACACUGCAGAGAGGUGGAAACAUCCGUUAAUAUUUUAAAAUCCCAUUACUGCUACCAACAAUAAUAAUGGAUGCAUAGAAAUAGAUCUGGAUUAGCUGAGCUUGAAACAGUCCAUCUCACACACACACAAAAGAAUUUCAGAUACAGUGAACCCACAUGUUGAAGCUUUCUAGUAUAAUAAAAAUUUCAACUGUUCUGUUGAAUCAUCUGCCUGAUUGGAGGCUACAGAAAAGAUGUCAUCUUAGGAGUGCUUGCUCUGAGUGAGGCUCAUCUUCAAAUCUGAAUGACCACAAGGAGAUUUGAUUAUACAUGUGAACACCUCAGAAGGCACAGCCCACCCAGAAGGCAGACAGGUCAGGCUGCUUUUUCUUCAUUGCUUGGAUUCAAUCCUCCGGGCGGCUCAGGCUCAAACAUAACUUAAGCAUGAUUAAACUUUAGAAGAAGCUGCCAGGAAGACUGUGAAAUCUUCAUGCCCAAGGAUCCCUAAAAUUAGGAGCAACAACCACUUGGCUCAGACGGUUUAUGGAGGCAAAGGUUUGGAUGGGAUUAGAGAUUUCUAAAUGUGAGUUCGUGUCCUCUGCCAGACCACCUUACUUCCACCAUUCCUCAGCAAAUCAAGAAAAACAGGAGAAAAGACAUGCCUUUCCAUAAGUUAAAUCUAUUCUGUUUUAAUUCUAUAUUAUAUCUGCUGUACAACUUCUUUUGUUUGUAACACCAUAUUGUUGCUAGUAACUGGAAAUUAAUUUUCACAUGCCUCAGCUUAGAAAAAUAAAAAGCAGCCCUGCAUCAAUCCCAA